rnacentral:rRNA from 1 species
AACGAACGCUGGCGGCAGGCCUAACACAUGCAAGUCGAGCGCCCAGCAAUGGGAGCGGCGCACGGGUGCGUAACGCGUGGGAACGUACCUCUUGGUACGGAAUAACACAGAGAAAUUUGUGCUAAUACCGUAUAAUAUCUCCGGAUCAAAGAUUUAUCGCCAAGAGAUCGGCCCGCGUUGGAUUAGCUAGUUGGUGAGGUAACGGCGCACCAAGGCUACGAUCCAUAGCUGGUCUGAGAGGAUGAUCAGCCACACUGGGACGGAGACACGGCCCAGAAUCCUACGGGAGGCAGCAGUGAGGAAUAUUGGACAAUGGGCGAAAGCCUGAUCCAGCCAUGCCGCGUGAAUGAAGAAGGCCUUAGGGUUGUAAAGUUCUUUCAGUGGUGAAGAUAAUGACGGUAGCCACAGAAGAAGCUCCGGCUAAAUUCGUGCCAGCCGCCGCGGUAA